UACGAAGGGGGCAAGCGUUGUUCGGAUUUACUGGGCGUAAAGGGUGCGUAGGCGGCGCGGUAAGUCGGGUGUGAAAUCUCGGAGCUUAACUCCGAAACUGCAUUCGAUACUGCCGUGCUUGAGGACUGGAGAGGAGACUGGAAUUUACGGUGUAGCGGUGAAAUGCGUAGAUAUCGUAAGGAAGACCAGUGGCGAAGGCGGGUCUCUGGACAGUUCCUGACGCUGAGGCACGAAGGUCAGGGGAGCAAACGGG
rnacentral:rRNA from 1 species